GAGAGUUUGGAUCCUGGCUCAGGACGAACGCUGGCGGCGUGCCUAAUACAUGCAAGUCGAGCGGAGAUUUGAAAAGCUUGCUUUUCAAAUCUUAGCGGCGGACGGGUGAGUAACACGUGGGCAACCUGCCCUUGAGACGGGGAUAACUCCGGGAAACCGGAGCUAAUACCGGAUAACACAUAUCUUCGCAUGAGGAUAUGUUAGAAGGUGGCUUUUAGCUACCACUCAAGGAUGGGCCCGCGGCGCAUUAGCUAGUUGGUGAGGUAACGGCUCACCAAGGCGACGAUGCGUAGCCGACCUGAGAGGGUGAUCGGCCACACUGGGACUGAGACACGGCCCAGACUCCUACGGGAGGCAGCAGUAGGGAAUCUUCCGCAAUGGACGAAAGUCUGACGGAGCAACGCCGCGUGAGUGAUGAAGGUUUUCGGAUCGUAAAGCUCUGUUGUUAGGGAAGAACAAGUAUCUGUUGAAUAAGCAGGUACCUUGACGGUACCUAACCAGAAAGCCACGGCUAACUACGUGCCAGCAGCCGCGGUAAUACGUAGGUGGCAAGCGUUGUCCGGAAUUAUUGGGCGUAAAGCGCGCGCAGGCGGUUCCUUAAGUCUGAUGUGAAAGCCCACGGCUCAACCGUGGAGGGUCAUUGGAAACUGGGGAACUUGAGUGCAGAAGAGGAGAGCGGAAUUCCACGUGUAGCGGUGAAAUGCGUAGAGAUGUGGAGGAACACCAGUGGCGAAGGCGGCUCUCUGGUCUGUAACUGACGCUGAGGCGCGAAAGCGUGGGGAGCGAACAGGAUUAGAUACCCUGGUAGUCCACGCCGUAAACGAUGAGUGCUAAGUGUUAGAGGGUUCCGCCCUUUAGUGCUGCAGCAAACGCAUAAGCACUCCGCC
rnacentral:rRNA from 1 species